rnacentral:rRNA from 1 species
AACGAACGCUGGCGGCGCGCCUAAUACAUGCAAGUCGAGCGAGAAGACGUAGCAAUACGUUUGUAAAGCGGCGAACGGGUGAGGAAUACAUGGGUAACCUACCCUCGAGUGGGGAAGUAACUAGCCGAAGGUUAGCUAAUACCGCGUACGCUCCUUGGACUUCGGUUCAGGGAGGAAAGCGAUACCGUGGGUAUCGCGCUCUUGGAUGGGCUCAUGUCCUAUCAGCUUGUUGGUGAGGUAACGGCUCACCAAGGCUUCGACGGGUAGCUGGUCUGAGAGGACGAUCAGCCACACUGGCACUGCGACACGGGCCAGACUCCUACGGGAGGCAGCAGUAAGGAAUAUUGCGCAAUGGGCGAAAGCCUGACGCAGCGACGCCGCGUGGGGGAGUGAA